UACGUAGGUGGCGAGCGUUGUCCGGAUUUACUGGGCGUAAAGGGAGCGUAGGCGGGCUUUUAGGUGAGAUGUGAAAUACUCGGGCUCAACUUGAGUGCUGCAUUUCAAACUGGAAGUCUAGAGUGCAGGAGAGGAGAAUGGAAUUCCUAGUGUAGCGGUGAAAUGCGUAGAGAUUAGGAAGAACGCCAGUGGCGAAGGCGAUUCUCUGGACUGUAACUGACGCUGAGGCUCGAAAGCGUGGGGAGCAAACAGG
rnacentral:rRNA from 1 species